UUGCUUUGGCCCAUGGAAUGGGCAGAAAUGAAAGUGUGAUCGUUCUGUGUCUGGGCUUGAAGAGGUCCAAUGAAGUUUCUGCUUCGCCUCUUAUUAUGCUUCCUUCCGGUAGCCUCUUCAGCUGGGGCCCCAGAACCAACACAGGUGGAAAAGAGCUAGCCCCGCCGAUCUGCAGACCAGCAGUGAGAAGCAGCACUGACCCAGCCGGCAGAGCAUUCGAGUACAGCUGUACCGGCCAUCCUGCGAGAAUCGGUGUUCCAGUCCGCUGAGUUUGGGGAUGGUUUAUCAGUUAGCAUUGUUGUAGCGAAGGAUAACCAGUGCACGUACUCACUCCUUCAUUAGGCUAUAGGUUCAGUCGCAGUAGAGACCCAACACAACAGUGUGGUAGAUAAAAAAGCAGCUCCUUGAUCUCUGAUAUAAUCAUCUGGUUAAGGACUGUAGUCCAGGGCUGGUUUGGCGGUUCGCAUGUCAGGGAGCCAGGCGCCUUCUAUUUGACGGCUCCACCAUUCUGGGGUGUCGCCCUCAUCCACGUGAGGUCUUUAUGCUGUUCACAGGUUGAGGUCUUCAUUUCCCUUGGCCCUGCAAGCUGGAACCCUCCACAGCGGGCGCCGAACCUUCUCCAACACUAGCCUUGAACACACAAAGCUCCGCCUUGAAGCCCCAUUCCCACUUCGGCUUCAGGCCUCCAGGACUUUAACUCUUGAAGGAGUGUGCUCCCCUCCCCAUCCCCCAGGUCUCAACAACAUCUCCUCCCCACUAGGACCUCAGGAGCCAGAGCUGGUCGUGCCUGGCGCUCCCCAGGACUGAGAGGCCCUGACUUCCAUGGGGGCGGCUGGCUGCCAGCCGGCGUGAGCCUUCGGGACUCCAAGGGUAAGAAUCCAGUGGUGCCUUCUGGUCCUCUUCAGUCGGCUCUGCCCUGCCUCUCCCACCCUCCAAUCCCUGUUGACCUCCAGUCCUGAAGAAGCCAGAGAACCUCUGCUCCACCGCCUCCCGGCUCUCUUUGCCCUACUGCAGUAGUUUGGUGCUAGAAGCCCAUGAACCACAUUUCACAGAUUCCCUUGACAGCAGAGUUCUGCCAAUAAAAUGUACCUGUGUGAAAUCUGGAAGGUGGAAGCCACUCUCUCCUCCUCUGCAGAGCAGACACGCAGGCUGCACGCUGGACUCCAUAUUCCCCCACUGGUCACCGGGCUUGGGACUGUGGGGGGGAUGCUGCUGUGACCUCAGCAGUCUGUUGAGCGGUGGCAGCAGCUUUGAAUCUAUGGAAAGCAGCUGUAACCUGAAAGCUAGUGAUGUGAUCCCCCCGCCCCCGACAUUCACCACCGCUAGCCCCCCAGUGAUGAGCACCAAUUAUGUUUAUGGACAUCCGUCAUGACCUGAGCUGAGACCAAGAGUUGAAUGUUUAACCAACCUAACCACCCAGGCGCCGCAGGAGUGGAGGAAUUUUUGCCUUUUCCGCAGACUGCGCCACAUUAUCCCUUGGAAUCAUGCAGCCAUGAUCUGUGUUGGGUGAGGAAGGUGGUGGUAGGUUUGGCGCUGGGCUGCGCUGGCGAGAGCCAAGCCGCACACGUCUGACCCUCAGUGGGGUCAGGAGAGGCUAGGGCGGUACAUGCAUGCGAAUGGGUAAAUGACCCCACCAGUAUGUUUUCUGAAAUAAAGGCCUGAGGAGGGCAGUCUUGGGUAAUUACUGCUCUCACACAUUCUUCUUUACCCUAGACCUCAGCCCCUCCCUCCCUGCUAGCUACCCAAGGGUUGGGAUUUUUUUUUUUUAAGAAAACAAACCCAAAACACCCCAAUGUGAAUUAUCCACGGGCUUGUAAGGGUGAAGAGCCCUCUACUUGCCAAGACAGGGCACACAUUUUGUGCAUGAGUUUGAGCACUUGGGAAGAAAGACAGGGCUUAGCUCUACAGUGGAGCUAGGCUCAGUGAUCCAAAUAUUCUGGCAAUGCCGAAGACCUUACGAGAGGGGCCAGAAAUAGAUGGUCCUCUCUGGGCAGGAGGUCAAGCGUGUUGUGAAUAGCUGGUCCUUGGUGAGCCAGGGGAGAGAGCACCAGAAUAAACUGCUAAUUGAUUUAAGAGUCUACAUCCCCUGAAUAUAUGUUUUCCAGUUUCCAGAGACUGAUUUGAUCAGGGAAACGAGGGAAAGAUGCCCCUACCCAUCCUCCUUUGCCCACACUGCUCUUGUGGAAGUAUACUGGCUCCCACAAGGGAUUCUAGCUUUAGUCCUGCUCCUCACGCCUGUGGCCCCUGUUCCCUGGAUAGACAUGUUUAACUAGUUCCAUUUUAAUUCCUUACCACAUGGCUAGAAUUGGUUAUGAAUUUAUACAUUUUAAUACGAGAAAAAUAAGUCUUUUACAAGCAAUGCUGAGAAGCCAAUAUCAGAAGAUAAACUUUGUAGGUGACCUGAGGCAGGAUGGGCUCACUCAAUGACGAUCUCGGGGACAGUGUCGCUCUCGUCACCCAGCUCUUCACCGGUGGAAUCUGUGAACUGACGCUUCUCUGCCAGGUCUUCACUUCUCGCUCUGCGAAAAGAAUACCAAAGGCUUUUACUCUGCAGAGGAACAAUUCAACUUUUCAUAAUUUACUCAUUUGAGGAUGACUGAUAGCUCCAGGAGGGUGGAGACUCUCUCUCUCAUCAUUUCAGCCAAGGAAAGAAAUCAGUGGUUGUCUGAGAGUCACUGGUUUGGAGUCCAGAUGGCAGAGGUAUCCAAGAAGACCAAUACAAGAGUGGCUGUUUCCUAAGCCUUGGAAGGUUUGAUCAUUUAAAAGACUAUUCUUAAUAUCAUAUCCGGCUCUUUUUACCCACUACCCUUAAACCUUCUACAUUUACAAGAAGAAUCCAUUUGCUAAAGAGCAUCAUUAAUAAGGAUUCAUGACAUACACAGCUGUGGAUGCCAUGGACAAAGAAGAAAAAUUGAACCAGGCAUCUGGGUGGCUCAGCUGGUUAAGCGUCUGACUACGGCUCAGGUCAUGAUCCCAGGGUCCUGGGAUUGCGUUGUCCCGCAUCAGGCUCCCUGCUCAGUGGGGAGUCCUCUCCCCUUGCUCCUCCCCCCUGCUCAUGCUCUCUCUCUCACUGUCAAACAAAUAAAUAAAAUCUUUUUAAAAAUUUUUAAAAAGAAUAAAAAUUGAACCUUCAUAACAAAGAAUAUAGUAUCCCUGUAUGUCUAAAUCCAUAGAAAUACCACGCAAGCAUUUCCUCCUUUACAAUGAGGCUGGAGAGAUUUUAUUUUGUAAUUUGUGAAGUUAGGGGCAUUUCUGAUAUGUUUAUUUAGCGUAAACAUUUCUAACUAUACCACUUAACCAUCAUUUUAUUUUAUUCUUUAAAGAUUUUAUUUGUUUAUUUGUGAGAGAGAGAAUGGAUGAACGCACAAGCUGAGGUAGCGGCAGGCAGAGGGAGAAGCAGGCUCCCCGCUGAGCAAGGAGCUCGACAGGGACUCGAUCUCAGGGUCCUGGGAUCAUGACCUGAGCCGAAGGCAGAUGCUUAACCGACUGAGCCACCCAGGAGCCCCUUAUUU